AUUGAACGCUGGCGGCAUGCUUUACACAUGCAAGUCGAACGGUAACAGGCCGCAAGGUGCUGACGAGUGGCGAACGGGUGAGUAAUGCAUCGGAACGUGCCCAGUCGUGGGGGAUAACUACUCGAAAGAGUAGCUAAUACCGCAUACGAACUAUGGAUGAAAGCGGGGGACCGUAAGGCCUCGUGCGAUUGGAGCGGCCGAUGUCAGAUCAGGUAGUUGGGGGGGUAAAGGCUAACCAAGCCAACGAUCUGUAGCUGGUCUGAGAGGACAACCAGCCACACUGGGACUGAGACACGGCCCAGACUCCUACGGGAGGAAGCAGUGGGGAAUUUUGGACAAUGGGCGCAAGCCUGAUCCAGCAAUGCCGCGUGGAGGAAGAAGGCCUUCGGGUUGUAAACUGCUUGUGUACGGAACGAAACGGCUCUGGUUAAUACCAGGGGGUAAUGACGGUACCGGAAGAAUAAGCACCGGCUAACUACGUG
rnacentral:rRNA from 1 species